rnacentral:lncRNA from 1 species
UUUUUCAAGGAAAGGCAAGGAUGUUGAGAAAGAAGCAAAGAAAAGUACCAAAUUUUUCAACAAGGAUGCAAAGCAUAUGUUCAAGGAUAUCACGCUCAAAAGUGCCCCGGUUCUUGAAAAAAAUGUUCAACUUGCAAGAAGAGGAAUAUGAUGGGUUCAUGUUCAAGGUGACCAAGUUCGGAUGGAACAAGCUCACAUCGUCGAACAAGAUGUUCUCAUCUCUUCUCUUCGGCGUGGCGAUUCCACCAUUGUAGAAGCUGCAGUGGUUUUUCUACCCGAAGCUUCUUCGGUUCGUGGCGGUGAAGGAAGGCGGCAGGAACCACCUAUCGCAACGGUGGUCCAAUGAAAAUGUUACACUAAUUUCUCCCUUUUAUUUUCUUCAAUCUUCUAAUUUUUUGUGAAGCAAGUCAAGUUGGGUAGUUUUGCUUACAUUUUAAAGUGUUGAAACCUUUGGUAUUCUACUUCCAUUUCCUCUUCUCCUCACACAAAGGUAACCAACUAACUUCUGAAACCCUAAAUCAAAACAUGAAAAAUGCUCUGAUCCAGAUCAAUGAUUCUAGUUUUACUUCAAAUUCUUUUGUUCAUUUGGUAUUCAAUCUCAUGUGUGUUCUUAGUACCUUUUCAAUAUGUGGUUUUCUAUUAUCUCAAUGCUUAGUUGUUGACCAUAACUUGUUUGAUUAAAUGUUAGUGUUUUCGUUUACUAUCUUAGCUUACUUUGUUCCUCGUAAAUUGUUUCAAUUAAUUGUAAACUCUAUUCUUAUUCUAGCAUGAGAUUAUCUCUAAUUAUAAAGUAAGCUAACGGUGAACUUAAUGGUGACGCAAAAGCAUCCUAUGUUGGAAUGCCAUGGAUUUGUGCAUGCAUCAUUUGUGGUUUUGCAGACCGAAGUGAAGGUAUAUAUCUAACUUUUAAGUGUUUUUUAUAUCAAUAUAUCAUAUGAUUAUUUUCACAUUGUUACAAGUUCAACUUGCAUUGAGGGAAUUGGAAAAUUUGAAAUAAGCUUGGAAGGAUACAUUUUCACAUACUCAUGGUGAGUGAUUCUUAGAACAUUUUUUAGUCAGGAUUCUCAAUAUUUUAGUUAAUUGAUCCUAAGAAUAUAAAAAUAUGUCCAUUUCUACAUUUUGAUUGCCUUUUGUUUAUAUUUCUAGUUUCAAUUGAACUCAAGUAAUACAUUCCAGUGAAAGUUUUUCAUUGCAUUCCUAAGAUACUUACUAGCCACAAUAGCGCAAUGUUAGAUAGAUUAAUAGCUUCUAUGUAAUUUUGUUUAUGUCUUCCAUAUUUUUCAACAUUGAUGUAAUGUAGGUACAAAUUUGAGGUGAUUGAGUUUCUUUGAAUCCUUUUUAAAAGGUGGCAAAGCUAACUAUUUUAAGUCUGUUUUGGUGCUAAAUUUGAUUAUGAAAGUUUAACUUUUGCCAAAAUAGAAAACAAAAUAGAUGGAGAGCAUAGAGCGAAAGCUUCAAAUCCAUAUUCACAGGAGCUCCUCAAAGUAAGCUUGGAAGGUUAGCUUUGUCUCCCUAACAUUUUUUCUGGGUAAUUUCCAUGUAGUGCAAUAACAUUUCUUAUUGUUGUGAAGUAUUGUUAUUUUCACUUGGUUCUUGUGGGAUGGAAACCUAAGAAGUGGACAAUAAAUCAAUGGUUCUUGUUUCUUGGCAUUUAUGUAAAUUCAUUAAUGUUUUUUGUCUUUCACAUUUUGUUUAUUAUGUGUGAAUACUUGUGUUUAAUACCAAAUGAUUUGUCUUUCACAUUUUUCUGUGUUGUUGUUAAUUUGUUGAACACUUGAGCUACAAGACUUGUCAUAGCAGCAAUAAAUCCAACUAUUCCAUAAAUGCAAGACUUGUCAUAGUAGCAAUAAAUCCAACUAUUCCAUAAAUAGUUCAAUUAGCUAAGGUGUAAUUUAAUUUUAUCAAAUAGUUCUAUUUGAUGGGCUAUCUAACAAACUCAUACUUUUCUACUCUUGCUUUAUGAAUUUCCAACUACUUUAUAAGCUUCAAACAACCAUAAGUUUUGUAUGAAAGAGAACUUCACAUUUUAAUAUCUUCUGUACUUUUAGAUAGCAGUAAAUCCUAAUGAAUAAUUUUAUAUUUUCCUUCUUCAUUAAAUAGGGCAUCUUUUAAUUUGUAUAAUUUUAUGGUACCAAAAUAGUUCACUAACUUGUAUUCUUUUUAUUAUUUGUAGGUGAAGGUUAACAAUUUGAUGCAACAAACCAUGAAUCAUUUUUUAUUUUUUUGGAAACACAAUUUGUAUCUAUUGAGAAGGGCAUUCAAAUUGUGUAAUUUUUAGGAUUAUAAGACUUUUUAUGUCUAUGCUAUAUGUAGUUAUGUUAUUUUUAGAUGGAGUUCACUCAAAUUCUUC